ACUCAAAUGAAUUGACGGGGGCCCGCACAAGCGGUGGAUCAUGUGGUUUAAUUCGAAGCAACGCGAAAAACCUUACCUGGGUUUGACAUCCUCGGACAGCUGUAGAGAUACAGUCUUCGUAGCAAUACGACCGAGAGACAGGUGCUGCAUGGCUGUCGUCAGCUCGUGGGGUGACCUGUUGGGUUAAGUCCCGCAACGAGCGCAACCCCUGUCCUUAGUUGCCAGCAUUAAGUUGGGCUCUCUAGGGAGACUGCCGUGGUGAACACGGAGGAAGGUGGGGAUGACGUCAAGUCCUCAUGGCCUUUAUAUCCAGGGCGACACACGUGAUACAAUGGACGGUACAGAGGGAAGCGAAACCGCGAGGUGGAGCCAAUCUCAAAAAGCCGUUCUCAGUUCGGAUUGGAGUCUGCAAUUCGACUCCAUGAAGUUGGAAUCGCUAGUAAUCGCGGAUCAGCACGCCGCGGUGAAUCCGUUCCCGGGCCUUGUACACACCGCCCGU
rnacentral:rRNA from 1 species